CGGCGCCUGCGCCUGCGCAAUCGCCUCCGAGCGCCUGGACCGGGAUGGCGGCCGUUUUGGAGUCGUUGCUGCGAGAGGAGCUGUCGGUCGCAGCCGCUGUGCGGUGGAUCGCGCGCAGCGCCCAGAGUUCGGAGGAUGACCCCGGGGAGGCGGCCGCGCUGAUCUCACUUCGGCCGCUGCGGAAGGAAUUCGUGCCAUUCCUGCUGAACUUCCUGAGGGAACAGAGCAGCCGCGUCCUCCCGCAGGGCCCCCCAACCCCCGCCAAGGCCUCGGGCUCCUCGGCAGCCUUGCCAGGGAGACCCGGGGGCCCGCCGCGGGGCGGCCGCGGGGCGCGCAGCCAGCUCUUCCCUCCGACCGAGCCUUCGAGCCCCACCGCCGCUGAGGCCCCUUCGGCCCGCCGUGGGGGCAGGAGGCGGGGCCCGGGGCCGGCCCGUGAGCGAGGAGGCCGCGGCCCCGGGGCCCUGGAGGAGGGGGUCAGCGGGGAGAGCCUGCCCUGGGCCGGGGGCCGGAGGCCCAAGAGCUCUGGCAGCCCCGGCAGCCCCAGCCUCGCGCGCUCUGAUCCGCCAAACCUCAGCAACCUGGAGGAAUUCCCUCCCGUAGGCUCGGUUCCCCCCGACUCUGCAGGCAGGACCAAGCCUUCACGCAGGAUCAACCCAACUCCGGUGAGCGAAGAGCGGUCACUCUCCAAGCCCAAGACUUGCUUCACCUCACCCCCAAUCAACUCUGUCCCCAGUUCCCAACCCUCAGUCCUGGACACUAGCCCUUGGGGCCAUAGCCUUUCCCCAGGGUGCAGAAGUCUGCAAGAGGAGCGGGAGAUGCUCAGGAAGGAGCGCUCUAAGCUGCUGCAGCAGUCACCUGCUCCCGCCUGUCCCACCCCAGAAUCAGGAUGUCCUCACCCCAGCCGAACAGGAAACCUCACAGCUGAACCCGCUGACCCUGCCAGAGUAUCCUCCCGUGAGCGUCUGGAGCUGGUAGCCCUUGUCUACUCUUCAUGCAUUGCAGAAAACCUGGUACCAAACCUCUUCUUGGAGCUUUUCUUCGUCCUUCAGCUCCUUACCGCCCGGAGGAUGGUGGCUGCCAAGGACAGUGACCUUGAACCAAAUCCAGGAGCCGUAGAUUCCCUGGAAAGCCCUCUGUUCCAGAGUGUCCAUGAUUGUGUCUUCUUUGCAGUGCAGGUUUUGGAGCAUCAGUUUCACGUUCUUUCCCACCUGGACAAAGGGACCUUGAAGCUGUUGGCUGAGAAUGAACGGCUACUGUGCUUCUCACCAGUUCUGCAAGGCCACCUGCGAGCUGCCUACGAGGGCAGUGUUGCCAAGGUCUCUCUGGCGAUGCCACCUUCUGCACAAGCUGUCUCCUUUCAGCCAGAAACUGAUAAUCGUGCCAACUUCUCCAGUGAUCGAGCCUUUCAUACUUUUAAAAAACAGAGGGAUGUGUUUUAUGAGGUGCUUCGAGAGUGGGAAGAUCGCCAUGAAGAGCCUGGCUGGGAUUUUGAGAAGGGCUUGGGCAGCAGGAUCAGAGCCAUGAUGAGUCAACUCUCUGCAGCCUGCAGCCACAGCCAUUUUGUUCGACUUUUCCAAAAACAACUUCUCCAGAUGUGUCAGAGUCCUGGUGGUGCUGGGGGCACUGUCUUGGGCGAGGCUCCAGAUGUGUUAAAUAUGCUUGGAGCUGACAAGCUGGGGCGGUUGCGGCGCCUGCAGGAACGGCUUGUGGCCCCUCAGAGCAGUGGGGGGCCCUGCCCACCCCCCACCUUCCCAGGCUGUCAGGGCUUCUUCAGGGACUUCAUCUUGAGUGCCAGCAGCUUCCAGUUUAAUCAGCAUCUCAUGGAUAGCCUGAGUUUGAAGAUCCGGGAGCUCAACAGCCUUGCCCUGCCUCAGCCUGAGCCCAGUGAUGAAGACGGGGAAUCAGAUGUGGACUGGCAGGGUGAACGGAGGCAGUUUGCUGUGGUGCUGCUCAGCCUGAGGCUUCUGGCUAAAUUCCUGGGCUUUGUGGCUUUCCUGCCAUACCGGGGGCCCGAACCACCCCCGACCCGUGAGCUCCAGGACACCAUUCUGGCCCUGAGGAGCCAGGUGCCCCCGGUCCUGGAUGUGCGGGCUCUGCUGCAGCAGGGGCUGCGGGCCCGGCGAGCAGUGCUCACGGUGCCCUGGCUGGUGGAGUUCCUUUCCCUGGCUGACCACAUCGUCCCCAUGCUGGACUAUUACCGCAGCAUCUUCACUCUCCUGCUGCACCUGCAUCGGAGCUUGGUCUUGUCAAAGGAGAGUGAAGGGGAGAUGUGUUUCCUGAACAAGCUGCUGCUGCUGGCUGUCCUGGGCUGGCUUUUCCAGAUUCCUACAGUCCCUGAGGACCUGUUCUUUCUGGAAGAGGGUCAGUUGGAUGCCUUUGAGGUGGACACAGUAGCUUCAGAGCAUGGCUUGGACAGCAUGCCUGUGGUGGACCAGCACCUGCUCUACACUUGCUGCCCCUAUAUUGGAGAGCUCCGCAAACUGCUCGCCUCCUGGGUAUCAGGAAGCAGUGGACGGAGUGGGGGCUUCGUCAGGAAAAUCACCCCCACCACCACCACCACCGGCCUGGGAGCCCAGCCUCCCCGGACCACCCAAGGGCUGCAGGCACAGCUGGCUCAAGCCUUUUUCCACAACCAGCCACCCUCCCUGCGCAGGACCGUGGAGUUCGUGGCAGAGAGAAUCGGCUCGAACUGUGUCAAGCAUAUCAAGGCCACGCUGGUGGCAGAUCUGGUGCGCCAGGCAGAGUCGCUUCUUCAAGAGCAGCUGGUGACGCAGGGACAGGAAGGGGGAGAUCCAGCCCAACUGUUGGAGAUCUUGUGUUCCCGGCUGUGCCCUCACGGGGCCCAGGCAUUGACCCAGGGGCGGGAGUUCUGCCAAAAGAAGAGCCCUGGUGCCGUGAGGGCAUUGCUCCCUGAGGAGACCCCGGCAGCUGUUCUGAGCAGUGCAGAGAACAUUGCUGUGGGGCUUGCAACAGAGAAAGCCUGUGCUUGGUUGUCAGCCAAUGUCACAGCACUGAUCAGAAGGGAGGUGAAAGCGGCUGUGAGUCGCAUGCUUCGAGCCCAGGGUCCUGAGCCAGCUGCCCGGGGGGAGCGGAGGGGCUGCUCCCGUGCCUGUGAGCACCAUGCUCCCCUCCCCUCCCACCUCAUCUCCGAGAUAAAAGAUGUGCUCUCUUUGGCCGUGGGGCCCCGGGACUCUGAGGAGGGAGUUUCCCCAGAGCAUCUGGAGCAGCUUCUAGGCCAGCUGGGCCAGAUGCUGCGGUGUCGCCAGUUCCUGUGCCCACCUGCUGAGCAGCAUCUGGCAAAGUGCUCUGUGGAGUUAGCAUCCCUCGUUGUUGCAGAUCAAAUUCCUGUCCUAGGGCCCCCGGCACAGCAGCAGCUGGAGAGAGGGCAGGCUCGAAGGCUUCUGCUCAUGCUGGUUUCCCUGUGGAAGGAGGACUUUCAAGUGCCGGUUCCACUGCAGCUGCUGCUGAGGCCAAGAAACGUGGGGCUUCUGGCAGCCACUCGGCCGAGGGAGUGGGACCUGCUGCUGUUCUUGCUCCGGGAGCUGGUAGAGAAAGGUCUGAUGGGACGGAUGGAGAUAGAGGCCUGCCUAGGCAGCCUCCAUGAGGCCCAGUGGCCAAGGGAUUUUUCUGAAGAAUUAGCAACACUGUUCAACCUGUUUCUAGCUGAACCCCAUGUGCCACAACCUCAGCUAAGAGCUUGUGAGCUGGUGCAGCCAAACCGGGGGACUGUGCUGGCCCAGAGCUAGGGCUGGGAAGCGGCCCUACCUUGGGCAUCUCGCCAGAGCGCUGGAACCCAGCCUGACUGUGCCUCAGGAGGAGGCCCCAGAGCCACCCCAAGUGCCCACCCUGACCCUUGCUGGUGUGGAAGUAGCUCAGUCUGUCAUCAGGCUUCCUGCUCACAUGCAAAGGAAGAGAGUGGCAGCCUGGCAUCCCCGUGACUGUGGGCUCACCAUCCCAAGUCCUAAAGGAAGCAGGAGGGGGUCACCCGAUUCAGGAUUAUGGUGGAAGAACCUAGAGACUCCAGUCCUGGAGAAGAAGAGUUGGCAUUUAUUAUGAAAUGAUGUGUGGGGGCUUGUUGGCACAAGAUUCAAGCCCCACUUGCUGCUGUCCCAGUAUCUCUUAGAGCUUUGUGGUUUGGGAAAUCAUGACUGACAGAGGGAAGUGACUUCUGCUUAACUUGUGUGGCUGAACGAAAGCACUGCCCCAGGAAGCUGAGCCCCGAGAAAUUUACCUUUUACCACAUCUUCUCAAUCCCCAUAUGGUCGCCCUCUUCCACCAAAGACUCUGGGGCACCAGAACUGAAGCUGAGAAUCUCUCCGACCCCUACACUUCAGGUAACCAUACAGAAUAUUCAAAGCUCGAGUUCAGCCAGGCUAAGUUACAAGAAAACUGAACCCAUUCUCCAUCCCAUCCUAGAAUAGAAGGGGCUACAGCAGUGCGUGGAGUGCUCAAGGCUGGGACCAAAUCUCUGAGUGAGGUAAGGAAUGGAAUUGUGCUUCCUCCUAACAAAUCACUUACCUCCUUCCAGGAGGUCCGUUAUCUUCCCUCUUGUCUUCAAAAGACAGUUUUUCAUCUCUGAAAUGAGAGAUGCCCACGCACCACCCCAAGCCCUCCUCAAAGAGCUAGGCCCCCACCCUAACCCCAAAUCUAUCCAGCCAGUUUCUACAGUGGUCUUCCCAUUCUUCUGAGCUCUGGAGUGGUGGCUCCAUGACAGAGCAUUACUCUAUACUCCUUACUGGGGCCAAGACCCAAACAAUUGUCUUCUCCUGUGAGGGAAAGGAAGAGGGGCGGCAAAGCAAAAAUUAAUAAUAAAGGAUUUUGUAAAAAUUCAGGGAGGAGAGACAAUUCUAAAUCAGUGUUCUGGUUUGUGCAGCUGUUUUUUUAAACCGUUUUCUGUUUCCUAACACCCCAUCCCACAGUGGAGCUGACUGCUGGAGCACAUUCUGAGCAGAGUCUUGGCCAAUGGCUCCUGCUUCCCUACCAGCCCCAGGGCUGCGCCGAACUAAGUAAGCACCAUGUCAGAGCACUGCAGGCUCCCAGCUCUGCUGGCUGUGUCCAGUCCUGAUCCUUGAGUGGCCUGUAUGCCAUAGGGUUCCAGAGACGGGCAAAAAAGGUGAGAAAUCCAAAAAGGUGAGUUGAGCUUCAUUCACUCUGGACAGCCGGGAGCUCAGGCCCCCUCGCUCUGCAGAGGUGCCAGCUGUGACCAAGUACUGACUAGGUUUCGCUGGCAACUCAGGGAUGAGUGCUGUCUGCCCAGUUGGCCACAGCAGGUAGCCUCAGCUCUUCUUAACAUCAGGAUACAGAGAGUAACAAGAGCUGCCCCAGCAUCUCUGGGGUGUCCUGGAGCACCGUCUUGACCGUGAGAUGCUAACUACCAAGGAAGGAAGCCAGUCUGGCUAUAACCAGCGGCUGCUGUUUGAUGAAGGAGCUUAGGAGCUGAGGGGGGAAUCCUGGAGCACCAAGUUCUACCUGAAAUAAACCAGAGAGGGAAGAGUUAAAGGUGCAGACAGACCCAGGAGAGUGCACCAGGGCACACUUCAGCCAUAAGCAGCCACCCCAGGCUGCUGUGAUUGGAGAGGCUCUGAACUGAACUGUCUACAGCCCUGUGCUCUGCUGUUCAGAUCUAGGCAAAAGCUUCACUUCCCAAUGACAAAAGGUCAAGUCAGGGAACUGAGGGUGCUGCUCUGCCUCACAAUGACUCAUCUAUCUCCUGAGGACCCUGGGAACAGCCAGAGGAUGUAGGCCGCCAGGCUCUGGUAAGAGCAGCUUCAGAAGAAGGUUGAUCAACUCUGCCUCAUUCCUUCCUGAUUCCCACUGAUUCGUGACCCAAGAAACCCUUGAGUCUCCAGCUCUCAGGCCACAGAUCCUGGGUACUGAAGGAUGUUGAACAGCUAUACAGAAAGCUCCCAUGGGGCUGGGGUCAAAUCAAGGCAUGCUGUGAGGCCAGCUGCACAAGGUGGCUCACCUGGGCCAAGUAGAUGACUCUGGUGAUCUCCUUCCCUUCCACAGUGAGGGGCUGCAGGAUCCAGGCACUGGGCAGGAUCUCCCCUCGGACCAUCUCCCUGCUGGGUCUCGGCAUGGACGCAUCAUACACAGACUGAGCUGCCAUGAUAGACAGUUGCCCCUGGAAACAGAGCAAUCCUGACACCCCACUGGACCUAGCUGAGUACCCGGCCUCCUGAGAACACUGCCUCUGACCCUGCUGCCUCUGUCCCCUGGGCUCACCCAGGCUGAUGCUGUUGGUCACCCGCUGAUGCAGCCUCGCUGUCUGGAUGGGCUUGUGGUACAGCGGCCACAAGAGUCGGCUACAGGAAACCUCACAUCAGCCAUAGAGAUGUCCACGAUGUGCUUGGCCAAAUCCUUGUAGGAGGAGGAGAAGGAGGUCCCCAGGCUGGACAGGCUGGACGGAGAACAGCAGCAACUGCCCAAGGAGGCUCUGCGGCCUACAAUGAACAGGUGGAGACUCUUGAGACGGCAUGAGCAUCAGGGCCUCAGGGCAGCAACGGCCUCCUUCAAUAAUAAUGUCCCUCCUCCUGAGGGACAGUGGCUCCCUAGGAUCUAGCAGACCUCAGCCCCAAAGUCCCCACACCAGGUAGGUAGCUCUGCCCCACCACUCACUGCAGGCUGAGGUUUUCCAGGCAGAGCCGGCCAGGUUCAGCUGACUGUUCCUCACUGCAGAGCGGCCCCACACCUCCCCUAUCCAGGAGUCUCUGGAAUCAGGCAAGUUUGUGUCCCCCUGCAGAAGAGAAGAUGCUCAGGACCAGAGCAGAGGCAGGGAGAGAGCAGAGCACCAGAAAGCCAGUGCAGAAUUAUCUCCUCUGCCUCUGAACAGCACCAAACAGCUUUCAACAUAAAGGCUCAAGUGAAAAGGUGUUCCCUGCUGGAUGCCCUUGAGAAGUCAACCACAAUAGAAACCAGUCCCCCUGGAGAGUUUCCUUGCCCUUCAAGCCACACGCUCAAGGUUGCUUGUAGGAGAGUUCCAACAGGAAUCAGAAUGAACUGGGACCUGAGACGAUGGGGUACCAGGGGUCAGUGAGUGGGGGGGCCCUCUGCGCCACUGCAGCAACAGGAAUGAGGCCAUGGCUGGAGCUCUGUUUAAUGUGGGCAGCAAACAAAGCCCAACUGGGAGGUGGGAGGUGGGAGGUGGGAUGGGGAAGAAAAGUGACGGGCUGUGAGAAAAGCUUGACCCUUGGCCCCAGCCCCAGGUACAGCAGCUGAGCCAAAGGUCCUAAUUUGGAACCAAAUGGGGAUGAUCCUCUCGAUUUGCAAUACAGCCACCACACCUUUACUACAAGCAGCUUCUCAAUGACAUGACCCUUGACCUCUGCUGGAUCUAACAGGCAUCCACUAUCCUACCUCUAUCAUCGGUUCCUAACCUAGUGUUACUUUUAAAAAAAAGUGAACAAAGAUAUUCUGUCUCCAUCCUUACGUCCUUUCUUCCUGCUGCAGCAUCCAAGUGGUCUCUCCUACUUCAGGCAGAUUGAGAUUUUUGUGCCACCUUCUCAAGAACCUUUCACUACUGAUCUCUUUCUUCACUUAUUGCCUCCACCUCUCCUUCACUAGAUUCUUCAUAUCAGCAUUUAAGCAUGCAAAAAUUUCUCCCACCUUUAAAAACUUUCCUCUACAGGCAUCUUUGCUCUUUUGUCCUUUACAGAUAAACUUGAAAUGAUUGUCACCGUUUGCCAUCUCCCACCUCUUACACCCUCUGAAUGCACUCAAAUCUAGCCUUUGCUAGAUCCAUAUGCCUGGAUGUGGUGAACAGGUCCCAGUCCUCAUCUUACUGAGCAUCUCCCUUUCACUUGCUUCCUGAAUCCCUGGGAUCUUGGCUUUCUGUCUCUCUGGGUGUUCCUUCCCAGUUUCUUUUGUUGGCUCAUCUUCCCCAAACAUAAGUUGAUUUAUUGGGAUUCUUUCAAGACUCGGGCCUAGGCCCUCUUCUCGCUCUAUAAUAUACUCCUGUGUGAUCCCAUCUGUUCCCAGUGCUAUACUGAUGACUUCCAAAAGUAAAUAUGUGUGGAUUAAUCAAUAAAUAUUGCGAGACGACAGGGUCACCGUCUGAAGAAAAGGUUACAUCAGACCCAUUUCACACAUCUUGCCAAAACAAAUUACUUAUGUUUUGUGGCUCAAAAAUAUACAGGGUGGGGGAGAAUUUAAUAAUACUAUGAGAAAAUUUUUUUAAAAAUUUAAUGAUCUCAUAGUGGAGAAAUGCCUUCCUAAACAGGGCACAAACUCCAGAGGCCAUGAAAGAAAAGACUGAUAAAAACUAGAUUAACAUAUCAUAAAAACAACUAGGAAAAAAACCCACUGGCCUCUCAAAUGGCAAAAGGAUAACUGUCUUAAUAUAAGGAAAGGCCACCAAAAACAAAAGAACAACCUAACAGAAAUGGACCCAGUACACUGGCAGGCAGAGCAAAAAGCCAAAGGGCUCUUAAAUAUCUGAAAAGGCACUCCAUCUCAGACACAAGAGAAUUGCAAAUUAAAACUAAAAUGAAAUACUAUUUUAUGCCUAUGAGAUUCACAAAGAUAGAAGGAAAAAACCCUUAAUAAACACUGUUAAGCAGAAAUGUAGGUAAGUAGGCACUUAUAUAUUGUUAUUUGAGAGUGUAAAUAGGUAUAUUUUGAAAAUAUUCAUCACAUAUUUUAAAUUAAAAAUACAUAUAUCCUUUGACACCUAGCAAUCCUGCUUCUAGGUAUUUAAUUACAGAUAUUCUUUCAUUUAAGUGGCAAUAAACAUUUUCAAAUAUGAACUCAGAGAACCUAGAGAAUAUAGUGCCCUUGAGUCUUUCUUGAAGAAAUUACAAGAAGAGUUACUAGGGUAGAAAAAAGAAUGUACGCCAAAGAACUGCAAAUGAGCAGAGUCCAUUUGAUCUAGCACGAGAACUAGAACUCUGAAUACAAACACUGUAAAUAGUAUAGAAAUACUGUAACAAAAGGUAAUGAGAAAAAAUGAGAGAAGGUGGAAAUACACUGAUUUCCUCAUGUUUUACAGCCAGGGUGAAAAGAAAACUGCUAAAUCAAGAAAUAAAGACUAUUUAAAUAUACAAAAGUAAUGAUGAAAAGAAAAGAAAGGAAAAAAAAAGGCUUCCAAAUUACCAGAAAGAAGACACAUAUACACCCCCAAAGCAAGGAAAACACAGACCACAAAGAAGAUAAACAAGAUUUUUAGAAGCCAAUGGAAUAUUCAUGACCAAAACCCUCAAAUAUAAAAAAAAGAAAUUUUACUUUCUCUGAAAUCAUACAUUCUCUCAACACAUGGCAAACUUAAAAAUUAGUAACAGGGCUUCCCUGGUGGCACAGUGGUUAAGAAUGCACCUGCCAAAAAAAAAAAGAAGAAUGCACCUGCCAAUGCAGGGGACACGGGUCUGAGCCCUGGUCUGGGAAGAUCCCACAUGCCGCAGAACAGCUAUGCCUGUGCACCACAACUACUGAGCCUGUGCUCUAGAGCCUGCGAGCCACAACUACUGUGCCCUUGUGCCAUAGCUAGUGAAGCCUGUGUGCCUAGAGCCCAUGCUCCGCAACAAGAGAAGCCACCAUAAUGAGAAGCCUACACACCGUAAUGAAGAAACACCCCCACUCGCUGCAAAUUAAAAAAGGGGGGUGAAGACACACCCCCACUCGCUGCAACUCAAGAAAGCCCACACAGCAACGAAGACCCAAUGCAGCCAAAAAUGAAUAAAUAAAAAUAAAGUUCCCUUAAAAAAAAUAACAAAAUCAGAAAACACGGCCUUUCUACCAAAAAGUUUUGAAAAACUCUUAACAAUUGGGUAAAGAAGAAAUACAAACUGAAAUUUCAAAAUUACUAUAAAGCAAAGAUUAUAUACAGAUAUAUAUCUAUAUCUAUGUCUGUAUCUAUAUAUGUCUCACAACUUGUGGGAUACAACUAAAGCAGUGCUCAGAGGGAAAGUUUUAACUUCAGAUAUUUACAUCUAUGAAAAAGAAAAAAAAUAAAUGAAUAUUAUGAACUACAUGCCAACAAUUAGGUAACUCAGAUGAAAUGGACAAGUUCCUAAAAAGAUACAAACUACUGAAACUGACUCAAGAAGAAAUGGAAAAUCUGAAUAGACAUUUAAUUAAAGUAAAUUUAGUAAUCAAAAAAUUCUUUAAAUUCCCACAAAGAAAAUUUCAAGAUGGGAUAGCUUCAUUAGUGAAAUCUACCAAGCAUUUAGAGGAGAAUUAACACCUGUUCUUCACAGUUCUUCCGAAAAUAGAGGAGGGAACACUUCUCAACUCAUUCCAUGAGGCCAAGAUUACCCUGAUAAAACCAAAGACAUCAAGUAAACUAUAGACCAAUAUCCCUGUGCAUUUAAACAAAUAAAUCCUCAGCAAAAUAACUAGUAAACUGAGUCUAGCAACAUAUAAAGAGGAUAUAUACCAUGACCAAGUGGGAUUUAUCCCAGGAACACAAAGUUAGUUCAACAUAGAAAAAUCAAUGUAAUAUAUUAAUAGAACAAAGGAAAACACCCACAUGAUCAUCUCAAUAGAUACAGGAAAAAGUAUUUAAAUCCAACACCUUUUCAUGAUAAAAGCAAUAAGCUAGGACUAGAAGGAAAUCUCCUCAACUUGAUAAAGAUUAUGUACGAAAACCCCACAGCUAACAUACUUAAUAGUAAAAACUGGAUGGUUUUCUCCUAAAAUCAGUAACAAGACAAGAACGUCUGCUCUCACCACUUCUAUUUAACAUGGUACUCAAGAUUCUAGCCAGGGCAGUUAGGCAAGAAAACAACAACAAAAGAUCGGAUAUUCUAUAUACAAGGUCAUAUCACCUAAGGAGUCUAAUAAAAUAAAGUAUUAGAACUAAUAAAUGAGUACAGGAGACAACAUCAAUAUACAAAAAUCAACUGUAUUUCUGUAUAGUAGCAAUGAGCAAACCAAAAAGGAAAUUAAGGAAACAAGCCCAUUUAUAAUAGCAUCAAAAAGAAUAAAAUAGUUAGGAAUAAAUUUAACAACAACAAAAAAAAACACGAAAAAUUUAUACUCUGAAAACUAUAAAACAUUGUUGAAAAUAAAGAAGACCCGAAUAAAUGAAAAGAUAUCCCAUGUUCAUGAAUUGAAAGACUUAAUAUUGUUCAGAUAGCAACCCUCCCCAAAUUGAUCUAUAGGUUCAGUGCAAUCCCAAUCAAAAUCCCAGCUGACUUUUCAGAAAUUGAAAAGAUUAUCCCUAAAAUUCAUAUGUACAGUCAAGGGACACAGAAUAGCCAAAACAAUCUUGAAAAAGAACAAAGUUGGAAGAUAUAUACUUCCUGAUUUCAAAAUCUACCACAAACCCAGGGGCUUCCCUGGUGGCACAGUGGUUGAGAGUCCACCUGCCAAUGCAGGGGACACGGGUUCGUGCCCCGGUCUGGGAGGAUCCCACAUGCUGCGGAGCAGCUAGGCCCGUGAGCCAUGGCCACUGGGCCUGCGCGGCCGGAGCCUGUGCUCUGCAACGGGAGAGGCCACAACAGUGAGAGGCCCGCGUGCUGCAAAAAAGAAAAAAAAAAUCUACCACAAACCUAAACAGUUAUCAAGACAGUGUGGUAUUGGCCUAAGGAUAGAUAUAUAAUUCAAUGGAAUGGAAUUAAAAGUCCAGAAAUAAAUCCACACAUCUAUGGUCAGUUAAUCUUUGACUAGGGUGCUGAGACAAUUCAGUGGGAGAAAAGAUUAUCUGUCUGAACAAAUGGUGCUGGGACAACUGGAUAUCCACGUGCAAAAGAAAGAAAUGUGAUCCCUAAUUCUCACUAUAUACAAAAAUUGAUUCAAAACAGAUCAAAGACCCAAAUGUAGGAACUAAAACUAUACAACUACUAAAAGAAAAUAUAGGCAUAAUCUUUGUGACCUUGGAUUGAGCAAGAGUGUCUUAGAUAUGAAACCAAAAGCACAAGCAACAAAAGAAAAAUUUAAAGUAGACAUGAUCAAAAUUUAUAACUUUGUGCUUCAAAUGACACCAUCAAGAAAGUGAAAAGACAACACACAGAAUAAAGAAACUUUUUAUAAAUCAUAUAACUGAUAAGGGACUUAUACUAGAAUAUAUAAAGAACUCUUUGCCUUAAUAAAAAGACAACCCAAUUAGAAAAUGAACAAAAGAUGGGAAAAGACAUUGCUCUAAAAAAAAUUUAUAAAUUUAUAAUAAGCACAUGAAAAGUUCAACACCAUUAACCAUCAGGAUGAUGCAAACGAUGAGGUACCACCUGAGAUCCCACUGGGAUGAAUAUAAUUUAAAAGAUGAAUAAUAACAAGUGUUGGCUAGGAUGUGGAGAAAUACAUUGCUUAUACACUGUUCAUGGGACUGCAGAAUAGUGCAGCCACUUUGAAAAACAGGCUGGCAGUUCUUCAAGUGGUGAAACAGAGUUACCCUAUGAUCUCAGUCCAACUCCUAGGUAAAACCCAAGAGAAGUGAAAACAUGUCCACACAAAAACUUGUACAUUAAUGUUCACAGCAGCAUUGUUCAUAAUAAGCAAAAAGUGGAAACAACCUAAAUGUCCAUCAACUGAUGAACAGACAAAUAAAUGUGAUAGUCACACAAUGUGAUAUUAUUAGCCAUAAAAAGGAAAUGAAAUUCUGAUACAUGCUACAAGUGGAUGAGCCCUUGUUGUGGGGUGAAUUAUUGUCCUCCAAAAAUGAUAUGUUGAAGUCCUAACUCCUGCUGUCUGUAAAUGUAACUUUAUUUGGAAAUAGGGUCUUUGCAGAUGCAAUCAAGUUAUGAUGAGGUCCCACUGGAUUAGAGUGGGCCAUACAUCCAAUGACUGCUGUCCUUAUAAGAAGGCCACACGAAGACACAGGUACACAGAGACAAACAGGGAGAAGCCACGUGAUGCCAAAGGCAAAGGCUGGAGUGAUACAGUUACAAGCCAAGGAAUGCCAAGGAAGUUAUAGCCAUACAAUGUAACCUCAGGAAACAAGAAAAAUAAACAACCUAAACUUACACCUAAAGCAACAAGAGAAAGAAGAACAAACAAAACCCAGUUAGUAGAAGGAAAGAAAUCAUAAAGAUGAGAGCAGGAAUAAAUGAAACAGAGACGAAGAAAACAAUAGAAAAGAUCAAUGGGGCUUCCCUGGUGGCGCAGUGGUUGAGAGUCUGCCUGCUGAUGCAGGGGACACGGGUUUGUGCCCUGGUCCAGGAAAAUCCCACAUGCCACGGAGCGGCUGGGCCCGUGAGCCAUGGCUGCUGAGCCUGCGCGUCUGGAGCCUGUGCUCCACAACGGGAGAGGCCACAGUGAGAGGCCCACGUACCGCAAAAAAAAAAAACAAAA